GACGUAGGGCGCGAGCGUUUGUCCGGAUUUAUUGGGCGUAAAGAGUGCGUAGGCGGUUUUUCUAAGUUUUGGUGUGAAAUCUCCCGGCUUAACUGGGGAGGGUGCGCCGAAAACUGGAAGGCUUGAGUAUGGGAGAGGUAAGCGGAAUUCCUGGUGUAGCGGUGAAAUGCGCAGAUAUCAGGAAGAACACCAAUGGCGAAAGCAGCUUUCUGGGACGGUACUGACGCUGAGACGCGAAAGCGUGGGGAGCGAACAGG
rnacentral:rRNA from 1 species